CUUACCAUUCCUUCUCUUCAAUG
rnacentral:sRNA from 1 species